rnacentral:rRNA from 1 species
GAUGAACGCUGGCGGCGUGCUUAACACAUGCAAGUCGAACGAAGCGACUAUGAUUGAGAUUUCGGUUGAUUGAUUAGUUGACUUAGUGGCGGACGGGUGAGUAACGCGUGGGUAACCUGCCUCGUACAGGGGGAUAACAGUUAGAAAUGACUGCUAAUACCGCAUAACCCGCUAGGGUCGCAUGACCCGGACGGAAAAGAUUUAUCGGUACGAGAUGGACCCGCGUCUGAUUAGCUAGUUGGUGAGGUAACGGCCCACCAAGGCGACGAUCAGUAGCCGGCCUGAGAGGGUGAACGGCCACAUUGGGACUGAGACACCGGCCCAA